UACGAACCGAGCGAACGUUGUUCGGAAUCACUGGGCUUAAAGGGCGCGUAGGCGGCUUGCCAAGUCAGGGGUGAAAUCUUUCGGCUCAACCGGAAAAGUGCCUUUGAUACUGGCAGGCUCGAGCGAGGUAGGGGCAUGCGGAACUUCCGGUGGAGCGGUGAAAUGUGUUGAUAUCAUUUGGAACGCCAAUGGUGAAAACAGCUCGCUGGGGGUUUGCUGACGCUGAGACACGAAAGCCAGGGGAGCAAACGGG
rnacentral:rRNA from 1 species